AAAUUGCCCCCAGAUUUUUUUUUUACAGGGCUGUUGUUGGCUACAUUUAAAUAUUUCUUAUUAAAAUAUUUUUUUUCUUCUCUCUUUUUUUGCGGAAUACUACUUUUCACAGAGUGAAAACAGUUUUUUUCGUCUCUUAAAACAUUUUAGUUUCUAAGUUAGACAAGCUUUCAAAACAAGACACAAGAUUUAAAUUUUACAUCCUCCGUUAUUAUAGCUAUAUCCGGGAUUUCUUAAUCCCCUUCUUUAAGAAUCUUAAGCAGGCCUCUUAUUAGGCAAACCAGCUUUCACAAAUAUCUUUGCUGGAAAGCUGCAGUGUCCUUUCCAAAAGUCCAUCCGCUUUUUCAUAAGCUGAUUGAUCUGCCAUCUAAACUUGUAGAAAAGGAUUGAUCAUCAGGGUGUUUGCAACUAAGACCUAAUAAUCAAUUUUUUACCAGAGCGUCAAAUGGGAAAAUGUCAAUAUUUGGUGUUCCAUGCUUCGCCGUUGAAAACAAGUAGUUAAUAUUCAUCUUAAAUUGAGUGAUUCCCCUCUUUAAAAACGUGUACAAUCAACAAUAGGAUAACCCUGGUGGAAGAUCUAACAACUCUAUUGUAUAUUUCGUGCUCACUAAUUAUUGUUAGAGAGAGAGUUUAUUCUUGCAUCUUGGAUCAUGUGAAUUUUUCAUUAAUUUUCUAUUUAUUCUUUGUGGUCCUUUGGCCUUUUAAAUGAUCAUUCUGAUUUUUACUUUGGAUAGAUCUGUGCUCUUAAAUAUGAACGAAAGGAUCAGUAACCUGGCUGUAUUCUUCUUUUUUUUUAGACAGUGGCUUCAUGUGGUAUGAGACUCUUGUUCAAAGUGACUUUGUACGGCAGAUGAAAGGCUCUAGAAUACUGGGAAUUCUGUUUGUCCACUGACUGAAUCAAAAAUUGCUCUUGUUGUAUCCUCAGGAAAAGUCACACUGUAUGAACUGGAAAAUUUAUCAAUUCUCAAAGGCAAAGAUUUGAAUAAACUAUCUACUAUGCUACCGCCAUCCAUACAGGUAAGAAUCAUUUCAACUUCAAGUGUUGGACUUUUUCUCCCGAAGAGUCAUCCACAUAGAUGCAUUUCAGUUGAACUUCAGUGGAUGGAAUAGUUUCGGUUUAAAAACCAGUGCGAAAGGGAGUCCAGGACUGCCUGAUAAAUCCCUUUAUAGGCAAGUGGAAAGGGGAGAGGGGGAGGAUUCUAAUUUCUCAAAAAGUGCCUCACGUCAUUUACGGACCUACUUUAAAUAAAAAUUAAAAGACUCAAUACAAAUUUAGUACCAUUAUGCUUCACUAUUUAUUGACAACAUCUAAAUUUGCAGCAUAAUGGCUUUGUAUCCACACUUUUUAUUUUGUUUAAUAUUGCUUCUGCUCCAAAAAUGUUCAUUCCUUAUAAGGAAAGGAAACUAAUAUUUGUGGAGACCCCCCUAAUUUCAUUUAGUCUCUAUCAUUCUGUGAUUUUGUGCCCCUAAUUUCGAAAAUCAAUAGUGCUCUCUACUUUUCCCCAAAAAUCUGCUCCGAUGUUUGACAUGGAAGUUUGAAAAGCUUUAGAUUAGACGUAUAGGCCUUGGAAUGGAGGAGACGUUUCAUGGAUCGGAGUUCGGAUCAUAACGAAAGUUUUAUCAUCUCAACAUUCAUUCAGCCGUAAUGUUUUUCUUAGUUUUUAAAGAUUAAUUUUGAAUGAAGACUUAUGAUCAAUAAAGAGCCAGUGGCCAAACAUUUGAAAUCUACUUAGACACUGUAUUUUGUUCCAUGCAACUGUGACACAUGCUGCAUAAUGGCUGAGUGGCAUCUACACUAGGGAUGACGUCUGAGAGAUGGCGCUACUUGUAUGUUUUGCAGCUAUUUCUAUGAUAAAAAUUUGAAUAACUCGAAAUCAACUUUUUCACACUUAGCAUAUUUGUAAUAGGUCUUAAAAUAUUCUAAUCCGUCUGCAGCCUGAUUGUUGAAAUUGUGUGUUUGUCGGUGGACAUAGAUGACAUAGGUUAAAAGGCGGAGCGUGAUUGGUGGGCUAUGUCUUAUCGCUGCUUUAUCGUGCCUUUGUCGGGUGGAGUGGACGACAUACUGUUGGCAACCUAAGAGGUGCCUUUAGCUUAUUGUGAGUUCCACACGACAUAGGCUGGACAAAGCAGCGAUAAGAUGUAGCCGACCAAU
rnacentral:lncRNA from 1 species